CGCUGCGCUACGGCGAUGGCGCCGGCAGGGUUGGCUUCUCCGACUUCGUGUGCUGCAUGCUGCGCCUCGACACCAUGAGCCAUGCAUUCCAAAACUUGGCAGAGGGCAGAUCACAAAUUUUGAUGACAGCAAUGGAGUGGCUGACCCUUGUCAUGUACACCUAGAGAGAUGCCAGAGGUCAUGGUGACUUUUCUUCCUCCUCAGCAGAGCAGUGUCCAAGGCCAUCCCAUACAAAAGCCAUCCAUGGAGUUCUUGAAACACCACCGUGAAGGAGUGAAGCCAGGUGUCCUCAUGCUUGGAGGUACUCCAGGCUGCUGGGAUGAAGAGUCCUUUCCAGGCAAACUGGAGGUGCUUGGAGAGGGAAGAAUUGCUAAUGAAAGUACUCCAUGGGCAAGCUGGAAGUGUUGACUGUGAUCCCCUCUCAUCUUCCUGUAAAUGGUACAGAAGUCAGGGACAGCUCCAUUAACUCCACUAUGAAAAAGAAGAGACCCAAGCCUUUCAUGUGAAAGGAGUGUAUAAGAUGUAGAUUACAAAAACAAUUAAGAGACAGUUUUAUUUUAAUUAUUUCUUCAUUUUCUUCUCUGCCAUUUGUAAGUGCCAGAAAAUGGUUGAAGAAAUUAGUCCUAAUUGAUAAAUAG
rnacentral:lncRNA from 1 species